CUGAGGUCUCAUUUGCUUGUUCCUAUUUUCUUCUCUGUCAGCUGUCUCCAUCUUAUUUACAAGUGAACCAUUUCAAUUUGCUUGUACUGAUUUUGCUUUUGCUCUACUGUCAGAAUUUAAUCUGGCUAACCUUUUUUGUUCACAUAAAAAUACAUGAUUUAUCCAUGUUAUAAUAUCAGUCUCUGAUAGUGAUGGGAAUGCGAUAACUCUAAAAGAGUUAACAGUUUACAGAAAAUAGCCAAAUAUUAAUAUUUCAUCACAAACAAACUGGCAGUCAAGUCAGUAACCUGUUUUCAGAACCCAUGCUUCUGUCAAUAAUCAGCUCUUGCAUAGCCAGAUUUCUAAAAAUAAGUCAGAGUAUUUUUGCUAUAACUCAUUAUACAAAAGUGUGCACAGGAGAGCAACAACAGAGAUUAGUUUUCUGGGUUGUACUAAAAAUUUCUCUCUCCUACCUUCAUAUUGUCUCAGGUUUUAAUGUGUAGCUGUAAUCAGGGAGAAAAAGAGAAAAACUUCAGUGCAUUGAGCACUGAAGGAAAGAAAUAGAAGCAAACACUACUCAUGUGAGCUUAUGGCUUUUUAAUUAGUGCCUGUGGGAAGAUACUUUGCUAUAUCAAUGCCAUUUAUACUAGUACUAUCUUGAAACAGCAAUGUGCAAAAUCUCUCCCACAUCUCCCACCAUCUUCUGUAGCCCCAGAGGAGACAUACAUAAAUAAGUAAUGGAAAAGCUAGAAAACAGAUUCAAUCAUGCCUGUUUUGCUGAUGCCUGAUUAAGGAUAUUUUUAAAAAAAAAAAAAAAAGGUGGGGGGGGAGUACAGAGGAGGAUGAAGAGUUUAUAUACUUGCUAAAUUCAUAGCAACAGCUGUUGUAUGAAACUCUGGGAUUUGCUAUUCCACAUAGCACAUGAUGAAGGCAAAACUUGCAGGAGUAUAUUUCUUUGUAUAAUGAGGUACGCAGUCAAGCAGUUAAAUCAUUUGCUUUCCCUGGGACACUCUGCUGGGUUCUUUGCCAUUGCAUUUAACUGCUCUCAGGUACUGGAGUGUCAUUCUCACCUUCUUUAUUAUAAUUUUUCCCCUCGUAAUCUACAGUAAAUGGGAAGUUUUACAGUGGAGCAGCUGUUGGUAAAACCAUUGACCUAAAAUAAAGCAGUUCUAACUUACAAACAGUUGGUUUAAGUCACUUAAAACUUCUGUUUACAAGACAACAGAAGCAGCAGCAGGAUGACAACUGUUUGCUCAGGAAAUGUUUGGGAAAUUCUUAUUAGGUUUGUGAAUGACUACUGCCAGCUUAGUUUUCCUAUUCACCCAGCUGGAUUUCCAAAGAUAAUCUUAACUAUUAAAUUGAAAGUCAAGUAGAGUACUGAGAAAGUAGAUGGGUAUGCUCUCUGAAUUAAAAGUCUUAUAUAAAUAAAAAUAUGCUUAAAAUAGAAAGACUUAGUCUGACUUGGCUAAAAUAUGGCAGUCUGAACAGAUACAUUGUGGGUAUCAUAGGCCUAGGAGGUAACUCUAGCAUGUCAAGUUGAGUGUGUAGCCUUAAGUCUUUUAGUUGAAAGUGUGGGGUCACAUCUGUUUUCUGAUACUGUUUAAAAUUCCAGUAUUUUUUUAAUCCUAACCUUUGGCGAUUAUUUUAGUUCUUGAAAACCAGAAACCCCAAAUAAUCUGUCUUCUAUUGUGGUGGUUCAGACACAGCACUGCCUGCAUUUUUCUCCAUGAAGAUUUUCAGAUAAAGACACUACUUUGAGUUAAUCAAAUACACAGGUCAAAA